GUAUCCCCCAUUGCUACUUCCCACCUAAUUCAAAGUCAAAUACAUGAAAAUUGAGAUGCCACCAAUCGAAAUUAACUAACAGAAGUCAGCUCCUACAUGCCAUCAGCUGAAAAUAUGUAACUUUUGAAUCUAAAAGAAUCACAAAUGGUAUGCUAAAAGUAGUAUUCAUCCGCGGAAACUAAUGAAGUUGUCUAGCCAGAACUGAAAAAGCUAUAUCUAAUCACCAUUAAGUUUGUUUUGGAAUUCCCAUUUGGCAAUCUGUUCAAUGUACUAAUUCUGUAUUCAAUUGGCACAUAUAUGUAAACCCCAAUGCUUGAUUUGUUACUUGAUAGAUAGCGGCAUGCAUCUAAUAGCCUUGUUAUUAGUUUGUUAAAUAUAGGAAUAUGAAACUCACAGCAGAAGUCUGGAAAGCAAC
rnacentral:misc_RNA from 1 species